AUGACGGACUGGUCGUCCCUUCUGCCGGACCUUCUCCGUCGCGUCGGCGAGUGCAUCCUGGUCACCAGCGACAUCGAUCACUACAUGGACAUGCGGGCUGUCUGUCACAACUGGCGCUCCGCCCUCGUCGACCCGUGCAGCGACUGCGCCGGCGUCGACCUCCUGUGCUUCCGCCCUCGGCACUGGGUCAUGCUAGACGAGGAGGAGGAGCCCACGGACGGCGCCCGCCUCUUUGUCAACAUCUCGACAGGGCGUUUUCUCCGCCGCCGCGUCCUGGUGCUUCAGGACCACAUCCUCGUCGGCCCUUCCGACGGGCUCCUCAUCGUCGGCGACAGGAAGCCCCAGCAUGCUGUCCGCGUCCUCAACCCCUUCACUGGCUCGCUGCUCCAUUUCAAGGUGAUACUACCUAGUUACCGGGCCAAGGCAGUGGUUGGAGGCGGCGGGCAUGAGCGCCCAACGUCACUCGUCUUCGGGCUCGACUGCUGCUACGAUAACGACGACCCCGUCUGGAGCGCAGAUCCGGCCAGCGACUA
rnacentral:rRNA from 1 species